rnacentral:rRNA from 1 species
GCAGUCGAGCGGAGAUGAGGUGCUUGCACCUUAUCUUAGCGGCGGACGGGUGAGUAAUGCUUAGGAAUCUGCCUAUUAGUGGGGGACAACAUUCCGAAAGGAAUGCUAAUACCGCAUACGCCCUACGGGGGAAAGCAGGGGAUCUUCGGACCUUGCGCUAAUAGAUGAGCCUAAGUCGGAUUAGCUAGUUGGUGGGGUAAAGGCCUACCAAGGCGACGAUCUGUAGCGGGUCUGAGAGGAUGAUCCGCCACACUGGGACUGAGACACGGCCCAGACUCCUACGGGAGGCAGCAGUGGGGAAUAUUGGACAAUGGGCGGAAGCCUGAUCCAGCCAUGCCGCGUGUGUGAAGAAGGCCUUUUGGUUGUAAAGCACUUUAAGCGAGGAGGAGGCUACUUAGAUUAAUACUCUAGGAUAGUGGACGUUACUCGCAGAAUAAGCACCGGCUAACUCUGUGCCAGCAGCCGCGGUAAUACAGAGGGUGCGAGCGUUAAUCGGAUUUACUGGGCGUAAAGCGUGCGUAGGCGGCUGAUUAAGUCGGAUGUGAAAUCCCUGAGCUUAACUUAGGAAUUGCAUUCGAUACUGGUCAGCUAGAGUAUGGGAGAGGAUGGUAGAAUUCCAGGUGUAGCGGUGAAAUGCGUAGAGAUCUGGAGGAAUACCGAUGGCGAAGCAGCCAUCUGGCCUAAUACUGACGCUGAGGUACGAAAGCAUGGGGAGCAAACAGGAUUAGAUACCCUGGUAGUCCAUGCCGUAACGAUGUCUACUAGCCGUU